CCCUUAGAUGUUCUGGGCCGCACACGCGCUACACUGAAGGAGGCAGCGUGUACUCCUGGAUCGAAAGAUUUGGGUAACCCGCGAAUCUCCUUCGUGCUAGGGAUUGAGGUUUGCAAUUAUCCUUCAUGAACGAGGAAUUCCCAGUAAGUGCAAGUCAUAAGCUUGCGCUGACUACGUCCCUGCCCUUUGUACACACCGCCCGUCGCUACUACCGAUUGAAUGAUUUGGUGAGGACUUCGGACUGGGACCGAUGCGGCUUUCGGGCUGCGUCGGUAUUCUGGAAAGAUGUCCAAACUGUAUCAUUUAGAGGAAGUAAAAGUCGUANCA
rnacentral:rRNA from 1 species